rnacentral:ncRNA from 1 species
CCUCGGGGUGCCGUUAUGGCUGAGAUGCACUAUGCAAACCCGUUGAACCUGAACCGGUUAAGACCGGCGGAGGAAAGGUAA